AGGGAUUUAGCUCAGCGGCACAGCACUUGCCUGAUAAGCAUGAGGUCCUGAGUUCAAACCCCAGUACCCCAA
rnacentral:tRNA from 1 species